rnacentral:rRNA from 1 species
GUAGGUGGCAAGCGUUGUCCGGAAUUAUUGGGCGUAAAGCGCGCGCAGGCGGUCCUUUAAGUCUGAUGUGAAAGCCCACGGCUCAACCGUGGAGGGUCAUUGGAAACUGGGGGACUUGAGUACAGAAGAGGAAAGCGGAAUUCCAAGUGUAGCGGUGAAAUGCGUAGAGAUUUGGAGGAACACCAGUGGCGAAGGCGGCUUUCUGGUCUGUAACUGACGCUGAGGCGCGAAAGCGUGGGGAGCAAACAGGGAUUAGAUACCCUGGUAGUCCACGCCGUAAACGAUGAGUGCUAAGUGUUAGGGGGUUUCCCGCCCCUUAGCGCUGCAGCUAACGCAUUAAGCACUCCGCCUGGGGAUACGGCCGCAAGGCUG